CCUACGGGAGGCAGCAGUGAGGAAUAUUGGUCAAUGGGCGCGAGCCUGAACCAGCCAAGUAGCGUGAAGGAUGACUGCCCUACGGGUUGUAAACUUCUUUUAUAAAGGAAUAAAGUGAGGCACGUGUGCCGUUUUGUAUGUACUUUAUGAAUAAGGAUCGACUAACUCCGUGCCAGCAGCCGCGGUAAUACGGAGGAUCCGAGCGUUAUCCGGAUUUAUUGGGUUUAAAGGGAGCGUAGAUGGGUUGUUAAGUCGGUUGUGAAAGUUUGCGGCUCAACCGUAAAAUUGCAAUUGAUACUGGCAGUCUUGAGUACAGUUGGUGUAGGGGGAAUUCGUGGUGGAGCGGUGAAAUGCUUAGAUAUCGAGAAGAACUCCGAUUGCGAAGGCAGCUUACUAAACUGCCACUGACAUUGAUGCUCGAGAGUGUGGGUAUCAAACAGGAUUAGAUACGCGUGAGU
rnacentral:rRNA from 1 species